UACGUAGGGUGCGAGCGUUGUCCGGAAUUAUUGGGCGUAAAGAGCUCGUAGGCGGUUUGUCGCGUCGACUGUGAAAACCCGAGGCUUAACCUCGGGCCUGCAGUCGAUACGGGCAGACUAGAGUUCGGUAGGGGAGACUGGAAUUCCGCGUGUAGCAGUGAAAUGCGUAGAGAUGCGGAGGAACACCGAUGGCGAAGGCAGCCCCCUGGGCCAACACUGACGCUCAGGCACGAAAGCGUGGGGAGCAAACAGG
rnacentral:rRNA from 1 species